rnacentral:rRNA from 1 species
GACGAACGCUGGCGGCGUGCCUAAUACAUGCAAGUAGAACGCUGAAGGAGGAGCUUGCUUCUCUGGAUGAGUCGCGAACGGGUGAGUAACGCGUAGGUAACCUGCCUGGUAGCGGGGGAUAACUAUUGGAAACGAUAGCUAAUACCGCAUAAGAGAAGAUGUUGCAUGACAUUUGCUUAAAAGGUGCAAUUGUAUCACUACCAGAUGGACCUGCGUUGUAUUAGCUAGUUGGUGAGGUAACGGCUCACCAAGGCGACGAUACAUAGCCGACCUGCGAGGGUGAUCGUCCACGCUGCGACUGAGACGCGGCCCGGACUCCUACUGGAGGCAGCAGUAGGGUAUCUUCGGCAGUAGACGGAAGUCUGACCGAGCAACGCCGCGUGGGUGAAGUAGGUUUUCGGAUCGUGAAGCUCUGUUGUAAGUGAAGAACGAGUGUGGGAGUGGAAAGUUCACGCUGUGACGGUAUCUUACCAGAAAGGGACGGCUAACUACGUG